rnacentral:rRNA from 1 species
GAUGAACGCUGGCGGCGUGCCUAAUACAUGCAAGUCGAGCGAACGGACGAGAAGCUUGCUUCUCUGAUGUUAACGGCGGACGGGAGAGUAACACGUGCAGAACCUACCUAUAAGACUGGGAUAACUUCGGGAAACCGGUGCUAAUACCGGAUAAUAUUUUGAACCGCAUGGUUCAAAAGUGAAAGAGGGUCUUGCUGUCCCUUAUAGAUGGAUCCGCGCUGCAUUAGCUAAGUCGUAAGAUAACGGCUUCGCAUAGCAACGAUGCAUAGCCGACCUGCGAGGGUGAUCGGCCACACUGGAACUGAGACACGGUACUGACUCCUACGGAAGGCACAGGUAGGGACUCUUCCGAGAUGGGCGGAAGCCUGACGGAGCAACGCCGCGUGAGUGAUGAAGGUCUUCGGGUGGUAAGACUCUGUUAUUAGGGAAGAACAUAUGUGUAAGUAACUGUGCACGUCUUGACGGUACCUAAACAGAAAGCCACGGCUAACUACGUG